rnacentral:rRNA from 1 species
GCAGCCGCCGCGGGAAUACCGAGGGUGCGAGCGUUAAUCGGAUUUACUGGGCGCAAAGCGUGCGUAGGCGGCUUUUUAAGUCGGAUGUGAAAUCCCCGAGCUUAACUUGGGAAUUGCAUUCGAUACUGGUUAGCUAGAGUGUGGGAGAGGAUGGUAGAAUUCCAGGUGUAGCGGUGAAAUGCGUAGAGAUCUGGAGGAAUACCGAUGGCGAAGGCAGCCAUCUGGCCUAACACUGACGCUGAGGUACGAAAGCAUGGGGAGCAAACAGGAUUAGAUACCCCAGUAGUCCCUGUCUCUUAUAC